CUCCGGGUGAUCCUGCCGGACCCGACUGCUAUCAGAGUGGGACUAAGCCAUGCGAGUCAACAUAGCAAUAUGUGGCAUACGGCUCAGUAACACGUAGUCAACAUGCCCAGGGGACGUGGAUAACCUCGGGAAACUGAGGAUAAACCGCGAUAGGUCAUCACUUCUGGAAUGGGUAAUGACUUAAAUCUAUAUGGCCCCUGGAUUGGACUGCGGCCGAUCAGGCUGUUGGUGAGGUAAUGGCCCACCAAACCUGUAACCGGUACGGGCUCUGAGAGGAGGAGCCCGGAGAUGGGCACUGAGACAAGGGCCCAGGCCCUAUGGGGCGCAGCAGGCGCGAAACCUCUGCAAUAGGCGAAAGCUUGACAGGGUUACUCUGAGUGAUUUCCGUUAAGGAGAUCUUUUGGCACCUCUAAAAAUGGUGCAGAAUAAGGGGUGGGCAAGUCUGGUGUCAGCCGCCGCGGUAAUACCAGCACCCCGAGUGGUCGGGACGUUUAUUGGGCCUAAAGCAUCCGUAGCCGGUUCUACAAGUCUUCCGUUAAAUCCACCUGCUUAACAGAUGGGCUGCGGAAGAUACUAUAGAGCUAGGAGGCGGGAGAGGCAAGCGGUACUCGAUGGGUAGGGGUAAAAUCCGUUGAUCCAUUGAAGACCACCAGUGGCGAAGGCGGCUUGCCAGAACGCGCUCGACGGUGAGGGAUGAAAGCUGGGGGAGCAAACCGGAUUAGAUACCCGGGUAGUCCCAGCUGUAAACGAUGCAGACUCGGUGAUGAGUUGGCUUAUUGCUAACUCAGUGCCGCAGGGAAGCCGUUAAGUUUGCCGCCUGGGGAGUACGGUCGCAAGACUGAAACUUAAAGGAAUUGGCGGGGGAGCA
rnacentral:rRNA from 1 species